rnacentral:rRNA from 1 species
AACGAACGCUGGCGGCAGGCUUAACACAUGCAAGUCGAACGCCCCGCACGGGGAGCGGCCGACGGGAGAGUAACGCGGGGGAAUGUGCCCCAAGGUGCGGAACAACACCGGGAAACUGGUGCUAAUACCGGAUGUGGCCGAGAGGUGAAAGAUUUAUCGCCUUGGGAUCAGCCCGCGUUAGAUUAGCUAGUUGGGGAGGUAAUGGCUCACCAAGGCUACGAUCUAUAGCUGGUCUGAGAGGAUGAUCAGCCACACUGGGACUGAGACACGGCCCAGACUCCUACGGGAGGCAGCAGUGGGGAAUCUUGGACAAUGGGCGCAAGCCUGAUCCAGCCAUGCCGCGUGAAUGAUGAAGGCCUUAGGGUUGUAAAGUUCUUUCGUCGGGGACGAUAAUGACGGUACCCGAAGAAGAAGCCCCGGCUAACUUCGUGCCAGCCGCCGCGGUAA